rnacentral:rRNA from 1 species
UACGGAGGGUGCGAGCGUUGUCCGGAAUCACUGGGCGUAAAGGGCGCGUAGGUGGUGGCUUAAGCGUGCGGUGAAAGCUCGGGGCUCAACCCCGAGUCGGCCGUGCGAACUGGGCUCACUGGAGCAUAGUAGAGGCAGGUGGAAUUCCGGGUGUAGCGGUGGAAUGCGUAGAGAUCCGGAGGAACACCGGUGGCGAAGGCGGAUCUCUGGGCCAGUACUGACACUGAGGAGCGAAAGCGUGGGUAGCAAACAGGG